rnacentral:rRNA from 1 species
UACGGGGGGAGCAAGCGUUGUUCGGAUUUACUGGGCGUAAAGGGCGCGUAGGCGGCCAACUAAGUCAGACGUGAAAUCCCUCGGCUUAACCGGGGAACUGCGUCUGAUACUGGAUGGCUUGAGAUUGGGAGAGGGAUGCGGAAUUCCAGGUGUAGCGGUGAAAUGCGUAGAUAUCUGGAGGAACACCGGUGGCGAAGGCGGCAUCCUGGACCAACACUGACGCUGAGGAGCGAAAGCCAGGGGAGCAAACGGG